rnacentral:rRNA from 1 species
UACGUAGGGUGCAAGCGUUGUCCGGAAUUACUGGGCGUAAAGGGCUCGUAGGCGGCCAACUAAGUCAGACGUGAAAUCCCUCGGCUUAACCGGGGAACUGCGUCUGAUACUGGAUGGCUUGAGUUCGGGAGAGGGAUGCGGAAUUCCAGGUGUAGCGGUGAAAUGCGUAGAUAUCUGGAGGAACACCGGUGGCGAAGGCGGCAUCCUGGACCGACACUGACGCUGAGGAGCGAAAGCCAGGGGAGCAAACGGG